GGGGAAUUAGCUCAGCUGGGAGAGCGCCGCCUUUGCACGGCGGAGGUCAGGGGUUCGAAUCCCCUAUUCUCCA
rnacentral:tRNA from 4 species